GACGAACGCUGGCGGCGUGCUUAACACAUGCAAGUCGAACGGAAAGGCCCUGCUUUUGUGGGGUGCUCGAGUGGCGAACGGGUGAGUAACACGUGAGUAACCUGCCCUUGACUUUGGGAUAACUUCAGGAAACUGGGGCUAAUACCGGAUAGGAGCUCCUGCUGCAUGGUGGGGGUUGGAAAGUUUCGGCGGUUGGGGAUGGACUCGCGGCUUAUCAGCUUGUUGGUGGGGUAGUGGCUUACCAAGGCUUUGACGGGUAGCCGGCCUGAGAGGGUGAACGGCCACAUUGGGACUGAGAUACGGCCCAGACUCCUACGGGAGGCAGCAGUGGGGAAUAUUGCACAAUGGGCGGAAGCCUGAUGCAGCAGCGCCGCGUGCGGGAUGACGGCCUUCGGGUUGUAAACCGCUUUCGCCUGUGACGAAGCGUGAGUGACGGUAAUGGGUAAAGAAGCACCGGCUAACUACGUG
rnacentral:rRNA from 1 species